rnacentral:rRNA from 1 species
GACGAACGCUGGCGGCGUGCUUAACACAUGCAAGUCGAACGGUGAACCACUUCGGUGGGGAUCAGUGGCGAACGGGUGAGUAACACGUGGGCAACCUGCCCUUAGCUCUGGGAUAACCCCGGGAACCGGGGACGUAAUACCGGAUACGACCUCGAGCGGCAUCACUUGAGGUGGAAAGAACUUCGGCUAAGGAUGGGCCCGCGGCCUAUCAGCUUGUUGGUGGGGUAAGUGGCCUACCAAGGCGACGACGGGUAGCCGGCCUGAGAGGGCGACCGGCCACACUGGGACUGAGACACGGCCCAGACUCCUACGGGAGGCAGCAGUGGGGAAGUAUUGCGCAAUGGGCGAAGCCUGACGCAGCGACGCCGCGUGAGGGACGAAGGCCUUCGGUCGU